UACGAAGGGUGCAAGCGUUAUUCGGAAUUAUUGGGCGUAAAGGGUGCGUAGACGGUAUAUUAAGUCUGUUGUUAAAUCUUCUGGCCUAACCGGAAAUCUGCAGUAGAUACUGAUGUGCUAGAGGGUGGAAGAGAGAAGUGGAAUUCUCGGAGUAGCGGUAAAAUGCGUAGAUCUCGAGAGGAACACCAAUGGCGAAGGCAGCUUCUUGGUCCAUACCUGACGUUGAGGCACGGAAAAGCGAUGGGGGAGCAAACAGGG
rnacentral:rRNA from 1 species